rnacentral:misc_RNA from 1 species
GAUGAAGAACGUAGCGAAAUGCGAUAAGUAAUGUGAAUUGCAGAAUUCAGUGAAUCAUCGAAUCUUUGAACGCACAUUGCGCCCGCCAGUAUUCUGGCGGGCAUGCCUGUUCGAGCGUCAUUUCAACCAUCAAGCCCCCGGGCUUGUGUUGGGGACCUGCGGCUGCCGCAGGCCCUGAAAAGCAGUGGCGGGCUCGCUGUCACACCGAGCGUAGUAGAUUUUAUCUCGCUCAGGGCGUGCUGCGGGUUCCGGCCGUUAAACCACCUUCAUAACCCAAGGUUGACCUCGGAUCAGGUAGGAAGACCCGCUGAGCUUAAGCAUAUCAAUAAGCGGAGGA